GGCGGCAGGCUUAACACAUGCAAGUCGAGCGGUAGCAGAUCUAGCUUGCUAGAUGCUGACGAGCGGCGGACGGGUGAGUAACGCGUAGGAACCUGCCCAGUAGUGGGGGCUAGCCCGGGGAAACUCGGAUUAAUACCGCAUACGCUCUACGGAGGAAAAGAGGGGGCUUCGGGCUCUCGCUAUUGGAUGGGCCUGCGUGAGAUUAGCUAGUUGGUGAGGUAAUGGCUCACCAAGGCGACGAUCUCUAGCUGGUCUGAGAGGAUGAUCAGCCACACUGGGACUGAGACACGGCCCAGACUCCUACGGGAGGCAGCAGAGGGGAAUAUUGCACAAUGGGCGCAAGCCUGAUGCAGCCAUGCCGCGUGUGUGAAGAAGGCUUUCGGGUUGUAAAGCACUUUCAGUGGGGAGGAAGGCCUCGUAGUUAAUAGCUGCAAGGAUUGACGUUACCCACAGAAGAAGCACCGGCUAACUCCGUG
rnacentral:rRNA from 1 species